rnacentral:rRNA from 1 species
AGUGAACGCUGGCGGUAGGCCUAACACAUGCAAGUCGAACGGCAGCACAGUAAGAGCUUGCUCUUACGGGUGGCGAGUGGCGGACGGGUGAGGAAUACAUCGGAAUCUACUUUUUCGUGGGGGAUAACGUAGGGAAACUUACGCUAAUACCGCAUACGACCUACGGGUGAAAGCAGGGGAUCUUCGGACCUUGCGCGAUUGAAUGAGCCGAUGUCGGAUUAGCUAGUUGGCGGGGUAAAGGCCCACCAAGGCGACGAUCCGUAGCUGGUCUGAGAGGAUGAUCAGCCACACUGGAACUGAGACACGGUCCAGACUCCUACGGGAGGCAGCAGUGGGGAAUAUUGGACAAUGGGCGCAAGCCUGACCCAGCCAUACCGCGUGAGUGAAGAAGGCCUUCGGGUUGUAAAGCCCUUUUGUUGGGAAAGAAAAGCAGCAGGUUAAUACCCCGCUGUUCUGACGGUACCCAAAGAAUAAGCACCGGCUAACUUCGUG